rnacentral:rRNA from 1 species
CACGUAGGGUGCGAGCGUUGUCCGGAAUUAUUGGGCGUAAAGAGCUCGUAGGCGGCUCAGUAAGUCGGAUGUGAAAACUCGGGGCUCAACCCCGAGACGCCAUCCGAUACUGCUGUGGCUUGAGUCUGGUAGGGGAACACGGAAUUCCUGGUGUAGCGGUGAAAUGCGCAGAUAUCAGGAGGAACACCGAUGGCGAAGGCAGUGUUCUGGGCCAGUACUGACGCUGAGGAGCGAAAGCGUGGGUAGCAAACAGG